AGGGUGUAAACGCUGCAGACUUGGUGUUGGAGGCCCUUUGGGGGCAUUCAGUGCCGGAGAGAAGUUGUUAAGUCUGCUACUUGGGGAGUACGUCCGCAAGGAUGAAACUUAAAGGAACUGGCGGGGGAGCACCGCAACGGGAGGAGCGUGCGGUUUAAUUGGAUUCAACACCGUAAAACUCACCAGGGAAGACUGUUACAUGAAGGCCGAGAUGAAGACUCUGCUAGAUUUUCAGAGAGGUGGUGCAUGGCGUCAGUGACUGU
rnacentral:rRNA from 1 species